CGUGGGCGGGAGGAUUAGAGUACAUCGCUCGAGCAAACCGCUUCAGCUGGCUCUUCACCCUGAGAAUGUAGGGCGCCAUGAUAUUGGCGGGUAAUCAAAGAGCAAAAUGCCAUUUAAAAACUACAAGGUGAGUUGCUCGAAGAAGCUCAUCUAAUCUACCGACACCCUUCUACAGCAACAUCUAGAGUUAGAUCGCUGCCUACAGUGUUACCAAAAAUUCUUGUCAUUCAAGUUGCUUUUAAACCUUGUCACAUUCUUAAAGGGAACACCAUCAUUUUAACACAUACUUCACACUGAACAAACAGGCUGCAUUUACUUCAUCCGACCCUAACGGUUAAUGUAAAAGAAUGAUUGUGACAAAGAAAUGGAACAUAAGAAUAAAAUUGGACUUGUCGAGGUCAGAGAAAAUUUUGGACAAAUCUACUGAGUAUAUUCCUGAAAACAAGGAAUGGGCAUAAAAGUUGGAUAAGCAGGCAAACUAUGCUUUCAUCAUGCGAUAAGCAAA